UAAUCGCAGAUCAGCAUGCUGCGGUGAAUACGUUCCCGGGCCUUGUACACACCGCCCGUCACACCAUGGGAGUCGGUAACACCCGAAGCCUGUAGUCUAACCGCAAGGAGGACGCAGUCGAAGGUGGGAUUGAUGACUGGGGUGAAGUCGUAACAAGGUAGC
rnacentral:rRNA from 1 species